GAUCCUGGCUCAGGAUGAACGCUAGCGACAGGCUCAACACAUGCAAGUCGAGGGGCAGCGGGGGUAGCAAUACCCGCCGGCGACCGGCGCACGGGUGAGUAACGCGUAUGCAACUUACCUAUCAGAGGGGGAUAACCCGGCGAAAGUCGGACUAAUACCGCAUGAAGCAGGGGUCCCGCAUGGGGAUAUUUGCUAAAGAUUCAUCGCUGAUAGAUAGGCAUGCGUUCCAUUAGGCAG
rnacentral:rRNA from 1 species